CGCCGUGACUGCGCCGUUACUAGCAGGAUCGUGAGGGAAACCUCCGACACGGCGC
rnacentral:ncRNA from 1 species